rnacentral:rRNA from 1 species
CAGUAGCCGCGGGAAAACGGAGGGUGCAAGCGUUAAUCGGAAUUACUGGGCGUAAAGCGCACGCAGGCGGUCUGACAAGUCAGAUGUGAAAUCCCCGGGCUUAACCUGGGAACUGCAUUUGAAACUGUCAGGCUGGAGUCUUGUAGAGGGGGGUAGAAUUCCAGGUGUAGCGGUGAAAUGCGUAGAGAUCUGGAGGAAUACCGGUGGCGAAGGCGGCCCCCUGGACAAAGACUGACGCUCAGGUGCGAAAGCGUGGGGAGCAAACAGGAUUAGAUACCCCUGUAGUCCCUGUCUCUUAUAC